AGCGAACGCUGGCGGCAGGCCUAACACAUGCAAGUCGAACGGAUCCUUCGGGAUUAGUGGCGGACGGGUGAGUAACACGUGGGAACGUGCCCUUUGGUUCGGAACAACUCAGGGAAACUUGAGCUAAUACCGGAUGUGCCCUUCGGGGGAAAGAUUUAUCGCCAUUGGAGCGGCCCGCGUCUGAUUAGCUAGUUGGUGAGGUAAAGGCUCACCAAGGCGACGAUCAGUAGCUGGUCUGAGAGGAUGAUCAGCCACAUUUGGACUGAGACACGGCCCAAACUCCUACAGGAGGCAGCAGUGGGGAAUCUUGCGCAAUGGGCGAAAGCCUGACGCAGCCAUGCCGCGUGAAUGAUGAAGGUCUUAGGAUUGUAAAAUUCUUUCACCGGGGACGAUAAUGACGGUACCCGGAGAAGAAGCCCCGGCUAACUUCGUGCCAGCAGCCGCGGUAAUAC
rnacentral:rRNA from 1 species